rnacentral:rRNA from 1 species
GACGAACGCUGGCGGCGUGCUUAACACAUGCAAGUCGAACGGAAAGGCCCUGCUUUUGUGGGGUGCUCGAGUGGCGAACGGGUGAGUAACACGUGAGUAACCUGCCCUUGACUUUGGGAUAACUUCAGGAAACUGGGGCUAAUACCGGAUAGGAGCUCCUGCUGCAUGGUGGGGGUUGGAAAGUUUCGGCGGUUGGGGAUGGACUCGCGGCUUAUCAGCUUGUUGGUGGGGUAGUGGCUUACCGAGGCUUUGACGGGUAGCCAGCCUGAGAGGGUGACCGGCCACAUUGGGACUGAGAUACGGCCCAGACUCCUACGGGAGGCAGCAGUGGGGAAUAUUGCACAAUGGGCGGAAGCCUGAUGCAGCAACGCCGCGUGCGGGAUGACGGCCUUCGGGUUGUAAACCGCUUUCGCCUGUGACGAAGCGUGAGUGACGGUAAUGGGUAAAGAAGCACCGGCUAACUACGUG